rnacentral:lncRNA from 13 species
GCCAGGAGUGGACUACACCAUCUGUUCUGCACCAGCCCUGAGACGAUGAUCAAUUUUCCCAGUACUACUUUGAGGCGCCCAUCUUCACCAUCCCAGGACGCACUUUCCCAGUGGAGGUGCUCUACUGCAAAGAGCCGGAGACAGACCACCUGGAUACCAAUCUCAUCACCGUCAUGCAGGUCCUCAUGAGUGAGCCCCCAGGUACGGUUAAAAAUGGUUACAAUGCAUACAUCCACAAUGUCUACACUUCAGCGCCUGCGAUAAGAUAC